AGAGUUUGAUCAUGGCUCAGAUUGAACGCUGGCGGCAUGCCUUACACAUGCAAGUCGAACGGCAGCACGGGAGCAAUCCUGGUGGCGAGUGGCGAACGGGUGAGUAAUACAUCGGAACGUGCCCAGUAGUGGGGGAUAGCCCGGCGAAAGCCGGAUUAAUACCGCAUACGACCUACGGGUGAAAGCGGGGGAUCGCAAGACCUCGCGCUGUCGGAGCGGCCGAUGUCAGAUUAGGUUGUUGGUGGGGUAAAGGCCUACCAAGCCGACGAUCUGUAGCUGGUCUGAGAGGACGACCAGCCACACUGGGACUGAGACACGGCCCAGACUCCUACGGGAGGCAGCAGUGGGGAAUUUUGGGCAAUGGGCGAAAGCCUGACCCAGCAACGCCGCGUGAGGGAUGAAGGCCCUCGGGUCGUAAACUCCUGUCAGGGGGGACGAAACGCCCAGCAAUGGGCAUUGACUGUACCCUCUGAGGAAGCCACGGCUAACUCCGUGCCAGCCGCCGCGGUAAUAC
rnacentral:rRNA from 1 species